rnacentral:rRNA from 1 species
AUGGCCACCGUCGCCGCCUCUCUCCCGCUCCGGGCCGCCGCCCGCGCGGGCCCGGCGCCGUCCCGCGCACCACCCUCCGACGCAGCCUUCUUCCCCGGCCGCCCGUGGCAGCGCGGGCUGGCGGCGAGGGGCCGGCCCUGGGGAUCGGUGGGGUGGUUCCGGGCGGAGGCUCUUCCCGGCGGUGCCGGCGGACCGCCGCGGAGGGAGCCCAUGGCGCCUCCUUACAAUGUCCUCAUCACCGGUUCCACCAAAGGUAUAGGAUACGCGCUGGCAAGGAAGUUCCUCAAGGCUGGUGAUAAUGUUGUAAUAUGCUCAAGAUCAGCUGAAAGGGUAGAAUCUGUAGCCAAUGACCUGAAAAAGGAAUUCGGAGAGCAACAUGUGGGACUGUCUGUGAUGUUAGAGAAGGCGCUUGUGGAUUUUGCGCGAGACAAGCCGGAGUAUAUUGAUAUUUGGAUCAACAAUGCCGGAUCAAAUGCAUAUAGUUACAAACCAUUGGUGGAAACCUCUGAUGAGGCUCUAAUUGAGGUGAUCACCACUAACACUCUUGGAUUGAUGCUAUGUUGUCGUGAGGCAAUAAAUAUGAUGUGGAACCAACCUCGAGGUGGUCACAUAUUUAACAUUGAUGAUGGAAGGCCAACCCCAAGGUUUGCAGCUUAUGGUGCAACGAAGAGAAGUGUGGUGCACCUUACAAAGUCUCUACAGGUAAAGGCUGAGUUGCAGAUGAAUGAAGUGAAUGAUGUCGUGGUGCAUAAUUUAUCGCCUGGCAUGGUUACGACUGAUCUUCUUAUGUCUGGUGCUACCGCAAAGCAAGCAAAGUUUUUCAUCAAUAUAUUAGCUGAAACUCCUGAUGUGGUUGCGGAUUACCUUGUUCCAAACAUCAGAGAAAUCCCUACCAAGCAAUCCAUGAAGCCGACUUACAUUCGCUUUCUCACAGGCUUGAAAGCCUACUCCAGAAUAUUUUCAAGAAUUGCUUUUGGUGCUCGUAGGAACAAGUAUGUUGCCGAGGAUUAG